AAGAAGAACUCUUCUAAAAAUAGAGGUCCUAUAUUCUAUAGUAAAAGGUUUUAAGGGCCGGAUUAGUAGUUAGGUCGGUGACGACCAGUGAAUACCUGGUGUUGUAUGUU
rnacentral:rRNA from 1 species